UGAAGUCGUAACAAGGUAGCCGUAGGGGAACCUGCGGCUGGAUUACCUCCUUUCUAAGGAAGACCAAAAUAUUUCUUUUGGUCUUAAAAAAUAAGUUAAUGUGGCCGUCCUCAUUUCUCUUCUUAUUAAUUAAAGUGUCUCAUAAAUGCUUAGGGGGCCGGUAGCUCAGGUGGUUAGAGCGCACCCCUGAUAAGGGUGAGGUCGCACGUUCGAGUCGUGCUCGGCCCACCACUUUCAUGGGGGAUUAGCUCAGCUGGGAGAGCGCCUGAUUUGCAUUCAGGAGGUCAGCGGUUCGAUCCCGCUAUCCUCCACCAAUUUUGACACUUUUAGUUUUUUUAAAUUGUAAAUAAUGAAUAUCAAUUUUGAUUGUUCAAACAGUAUGAACAAUCAAACAAUAUCUAUAUCCGAUUGUUCGAAUAGAAGAACAAUCAAUAAAUAUUCGAAUAGAUGAAUAUUUAAUUAAAAAUUUAAUUUAGACAGAAAAUUAUUUUCUGUGCAUAAAUCAAGCGUUUAAGGGCGUAUGGCGGAUGCCUAGGCACUGAAAGGCGAUGAAGGACGUGGUAUACUGCGAUAAGUUUCGGGGAGCUGUAUGCAGGCUUUGAUCCGAAAAUUU
rnacentral:misc_RNA from 1 species